ensembl:snoRNA
GCUGGUGUAAGUGAUGACUGAACUUUUUUCCCCAUCAGAGCGACAGUGUUGAUUUCUUACUGUUCAAGCCAGGUCACAUCUGAUGCACCAGC